UCCGAUUGGUCGAGAACGUUUUGAAAUCGCAUUUUGUAGCGCGCAUGUGCGUACAGCGUCUCGGCCGUUCCAGCAUAGUUUCGAAAUAGCAUGGCCGGCAUGUUGUCCUCCUGUGUUCGGUGGUGUCAAUCGACAGAACAGUUUGCAGAAAUAUGUUCGCGAGUUUAUUAGUUCGUCCUUGUGAGUCUACGCGUGUUGUGCUGUUUCUGGACACAACUGUUAUCCCACGAACAAUUUGUCAACUGCGGUACCGGAAUGCUUCAUGAGUUGGAGCGUGAAGAACAAGUUCGAGCGCCGUUGGACUUCGAGGACUGUCAACAAAGACAGGAUUACGUGCCACACAAGCGCUUUUCGCUUCGCUAUAAUGAAUGCACCGCAGGCAGCGAAAGAAGAUGCCCAUCAUGAAAUGGUACGCACUCAUGAGACUGGCUCGGUAUUAGGAGUUGAACGGUGUGUUCGUUCUGCUUCAUGUUCGAGCUUUGUCCCAGUGUGUCACCAACGCAGUGGGCUUUGUACGCACAGUGCACCCAUGUAUCAGAUCUUUGAAUUAAUGCUUUGUAUCAAAUAAAUCUUUAUUUUACCCCAAAAUCGCUUUAGUUAUUUUGAAUACCGAGUAACGGCGGCAGGCCUGAAAUCCAGUAGAAGUCGAUGGUAGCCAGGACCGACCGAAAGGCCAGCCAGACAUGGAGGCUCCUGAUUGGCCGACUGGUUGUGCAUAAUAUCCACCACGUCCCAAUUUCAUUGGUCGUGUGCCCAGUGUUGUGUGAAUUAUCUCAAACUAUGUGCUCUAUGGGGAGCUGUUGGAGCCUGGCCGAACUCCUUUCUGACUUCGUGACUCUCCUGCCUCUCCUCUCUUGUUUACCCUCUCCUCCUCUCUUUCGACCAGCGCAGCGCCACGUGACUUCUGCACCACGUGACCCUCUCCUUUUGAAUUUGCAAGUCUGUGCACGCGCUUUUCGCGCUGAGAGCCACCUCGUUCGCGUUGGAAAAAGUCCGCGUGAUUUCAAAUGUUUGUGAGCAAUUCCUUCAUGGUAGUACAGGUGUUGUUGUAACUUCGUACUGAAUACUGAAGCUCUUACUUCUAGCUAUUGUUUUUGCGAUCUGUGCAACAUUGUACUGCAUGUACGCGAAAGCGUUUCAGGCCAGUCGCCGGCGGUUUAAUCUGUAAUCUGUCGGUUCUGGAACGUCGAAGUUCGUGGUUGUCUUGGAUGCUAGUUCCGAACCUGAAGCUAUUCCCGGGUCCGUUUACAGGAUUUCAGCCAUUUUUCAGGUAUGUAGACGAUGUAUCAAAUAUGCUUUUGUGAGUGACAGGCAUUCCCGUUCUUCUUCUUUUUUUUUUCUUUUUGCUUUUAUCUCUUCUUGCAGGCAUUGUGAGCGCUGAUAAUGAGAUCGCAAGAUGCAAUGCGGUGUGACUGUUACUAAUCGCUCUCUGUGCAACGGUUAAGUCCGUCCGAAGCGGCAGGCAAUGGAUGGUUUACAGGAUUUCAGCCAUUUUUCAGGUAAGUAGACGAGGUAUCGGAUAUGCUUUUGUGAAUGACAGGCAUCCCUGUUGAAAAAACUCAUAUAACUUUCUAUGUGUAAAGAAAUGAGCAAUAUGUGUAAAGAAAUGAGCAAUAUGUGAAAGGCAAUGAGCAGUAUGAGCAGCGCUAUGGGCAGUAUGAGCAAUGUUAUGAACCGCACGGCGAGGCCAACGACGCACUAUGUGCGCAGAUAUAAGCAAUACGAGAAAAGCAAUGAGCAGUAUGAGCAACGUUAUGCGCAGUAUGAGCUGCAUUUCGAGCAAUAUGAGAAAGAUAUGAGCAGUAUGAGCAGUAUGAGAAAGGCUGACCGUUUAGUUAACCAAUUAUUCACCUAGAAGUGCUGGCGCCACAGCGUCUGGUGAUGGCCUUUCAAGAGACGCUCGUCACACUCGGCGGGCCGUAACGGUCGCAGCUCCAUUCCCUUUCGUCCGAUUCUGUUCAAAUUUUAGGUGCAUAUUUCCCGUUCCGAUCGUGUCCUACAUUCUCUUUGGCUCCUGGAUUCUCAUCCAAGCCGUUGCGAGUGCCAUCUUAGUGCUUGGACGCUUACUUGCUUAUUCUACCCUGCUUCUCGGAGCCGUCUGGACGUAUUUCGCUCCGCUCUGCGUGGGACUCAUAUUUUCGUCGCCGUCUCCAUGCUGUGACAGUGUCUUUGUACCGUUUCAGUGAUCACUGAAGAUGUUUUGUGUGUGUACCUUAGAAUCAAACUACAAAAGCCGUGGCAGGUGUGUGCGCAUUACAGGUACGUUGCAGUCCCGUUUUUCCGUUAUCGCUCUUUAUGUCUGUCGGGUUAGCUGUCUGCAACUACCAUAUUCGUGCUUUUUUUUACUUUUUGUGGAAAGCCGGUUCGCUGAUAGCCUUUGCAUGUGUGUAUAGAGUGUUUCAAAUAAAGUCGUGCACAAGGGCAUACCGAAAUCGCAAGUUAGCAUGCAAAAAAAAAUAAAAAGUCUAUUUCGAUGCCCCAAAGUCAAGUAAGCCACGAACACUCUGUGUCAGUAACCCGCUGCUGCAGCGAACAAGUACAUGCACUCAGUUUUGCAACCACAACGCAAACAUACUCAGAUGUUUCAGAACCGCGUUCAUUGGACAUCACCAGCAUUAGAGGAAGGUUACGUUAAAUUUUAAUCGACAAAAUGACCUCGUGCGUUAUUCUGACUGACUAAAUACAACUUAAUGCUUUGAAGGUGUGAUCUACGCGUUGGGAUGAGAAACAGGCCCCAGUCAUGUCCAUUUCAGCAUGAACCCAUACGUCUGUAUAAGUUGUGGGAACUGGAAUACUUGUAGGCGCAGAAAUUUAGCGCAGUUCUAAUUUUGUUCGUUCUUUUCAACAGAUACCUUCGUCAAAUAUGCAGAAAACGGUAAACUAUCGCCAUCAAAGGUGCCUGUACAGAAACGGAAAAAGCUCAUCAAAAGCAUUUGGCAAGCUUUCUGAGGGACCUACGUCGCGCCAGUACCUGAAUAAACCGGUAUUUUGUAAUCACGUGUUGUCAUUUUAGCCUAAUCACGCCAUGUUGCACGUUUGUUCAGACGGUUGUGCAUUCAUGUACAUGAAUACGCUGUAUGAGAGUGCUCAUAUAGCUCAUACGCUGUUUGAGAGAGUGCUCAUAUAGUUCAUACAUGCUCAUAUAGCUCAUACAUGCUCAUAUAGCUCAUACAUGCUCAUAGGAGCUCAUAUGAUUGCUCAUACAAUAAACACAUAUACGAGGCUCAUAUGAUUGCUCAUACAGGUGGCUGUAUGGUUUUUUUCGACAGGGAUUCCCGUUCUUUUUUCUGCUUUUACCUCUUCUUGCAGGCAUUGUGAGCGCUGAUGCAAGCGGCAGGCAAUGGAUGGAGUCGUCGCGAGCUGGUAAUGAAACUCGUUCUCCCCGACGUUGGAUCAAAAAGGCAAAUUGGACGGGAGAUCACGAGUCCCCAAGUCUACGAAAAGACAGAAGAACACCAUCGCCGACGAGAUGACUGCUUGAAGUAAAAUGUUUAGUCGCCGUUAUUCCUUGGUUGGACAUUGCGGAUACGUGCCCCAUGAGUUUAAGCUUUGUUGAUUACGGCGUGUGUGUUGAUGAUCAACGGUACGCUUUCAAGGACAUGUAAGUGCUGAAUCAAGUUUGUGUUGUAAUUGGUUACUGUUUCGUGUGGUUUCUUGUAAGCGAUCCCCAUCUCGAUGAUGAAUGCUCACGCUUCUGAAAGCCAUGUAAAUAACAGUUGUGUGAUUUGAGGCUGUUUUGAUACUCCUACUAAUUUGAGGACAGCGCCAGAGGCGCAGUGCAAACGAAUGAAUUUGGACCUUGCUGUGCCAACGUCACAGCGCAUUUAGGUAGCAAAUUGUUGCAGACUGGUGUUUACGUCAGGGUCAUUUUACGCCAAAUGGUUCAAAGGUUCUGCGCCCCCAGUUCUUUAUAAAGAAAAGAAAUGGUGCGUCUUCGCAAUUGCGGUUAACGGAACCCCCCCCCCCCAAAAAAAAAAAACGACAGUGCUUCACAGCUCCACCCUAUAGUGGCUACUUAUAACGUAGAGGGAUUGCAAUACAGUGGCAGUACUAUUUUGAAUGCCCAAGACUAAUGUGUCCUUCCCUUUCCCCGGUCGCACUGCGGGCAGUCUCCCGAAUUUUGAGUUCGUCAGGUUGGAAGGUAUGCGAACGUGACGUUCGGAUCAUUUGGCGAAUGAAUGACGCAUAAGGAUUGCCUGGUGUCGUUUUUUCAUAGAGUUAAUUUACAUUUGUCAGCUGAACAUAACAAUGUUCAACUGACAAAUAUUGGACUGUGGUGUUAUGAGUGGUGUUGCUAUCUAGUCCAUUCCUUUCUGUAUGUCACUUGAAAAGCAUUAUGCAUGCAGGCAUUCUAUUAAAGGGUAGUUCAUUCGACAGCAUUUUUGGGCGCUCAGUAUCUAUUGGAAUUUGUUCGUAAAUUAUUGCGACUUGAUAUUUUGCGUUUGAGGAGUUACAGAGUCAGCCUGAUCAGGGAAUAUAAGUAACCGGAGUUUAAUAUUUCAAUAUUAUUUCUACAAGUUCAACAAUAUAUGUUGUGAUAUUAUGGACAUUACUAUGUAGUCAUUGUCUAGCCGUUGAUAAGCGCUUGUGCCAUUAUUGGUUUAUCGCAUGCUGCGCGAUCGUAAAGUGCAUACGCUGGUCACUUUUGCAGUGUUUUAAUAGCUUUACUUAAAAUAAAGUUUUGUCAAAAUGUG